CAGGAUGCCCAUUUAAACUUGAAUUUCAAAUAAAUGACCAAUUAUUUUAGUACAUGUAUGUCCCAUGCAGUAUUUGGGACAUAUUUAUACUAAAACACUAUUCAUUAUUUAUCUGGAAGUCAAAUUUCUGAUGAAUUC
rnacentral:miRNA from 1 species